rnacentral:rRNA from 1 species
GAUGAACGCUGGCGGCGUGCCUAAUGCAUGCAAGUCGAGCGAACGGACGAGAAGCUUGCUUCUCUGAUGUUAGCGGCGGACGGGUGAGUAACACGUGGAUAACCUACCUAUAAGACUGGGAUAACUUCGGGAAACCGUAGCUAAUACCGGAUAAUAUUUUGAACCGCAUGGUUCAAAAGUGAAAGACGGUCUUGCUGUCACUUAUAGAUGGAUCCGCGCUGCAUUAGCUAGUUGGUAAGGUAACGGCUUACCAAGGCAACGAUGCAUAGCCGACCUGAGAGGGUGAUCGGCCACACUGGAACUGAGACACGGACCAGACUCCUACGGGAGGCAGCAGUAGGGAAUCUUCCGCAAUGGGCGAAAGCCUGACGGAGCAACGCCGCGUGAGUGAUGAAGGUCUUCGGAUCGUAAAACUCUGUUAUUAGGGAAGAACAUAUGUGUAAGUAACUGUGCACAUCUUGACGGUACCUAAUCAGAAAGCCACGGCUAACUACGUG